ensembl:lncRNA
CCUUGAAGAACCGUGGGGGACGUGGGGUGAUGCUGGGGACUGUGGGGCUCUGCGAGGUCCCAGGUUGGCGGUGGGGGAGGUGUACCGGGUCAGAGAAAGUACUUGAGGAGCUAUGUGGGUCUGUGGGGGAGGUUGUGGGGGAUAUAGAAUGGAUAUGACAACACAGCCUGCAGGAGCAGAAUGCUGUUCAGGAGAAGACAAGAUGUGGGCUGCAAGAGGGACGCAGGAGUAUGGGGUGCUAUGGGAGGAUGUGGGGAGCAGUUUGAGGUAAAAAAAUAAAGGGGGGGAAGGGGGCAGCGGUGUAGGAGGGGUUUCAUUUCUUCCUGAGAGGGGACUGGGGGUCCAUGCAGCCCAAAGGUGGGACCCUAAGCCGUAACCCCACACGAGCCAUAAGCCAAGAUGACCUCAUCAUGUGUGUGACCCCAUGGCUGUACGUGACCCACAACCCUGGGUGAACCACACCCCCACAUGACCCUGUGACUCCCUGACCCUACCUGCCCCCAUCACGCUGCGACCCGAUGCCAUGUGGCCCCAGAACUCUGGGAUCCCUGCCCCCACCUCAACUCGACCAUAGAAACACAUGUGACCACAGAACUCCAUGUCACCCCAUCUGACCCUACCAUCUCAUCUGACCUCAUCACAGCAACCCAGAACCCCAUCUAACCCAGAACCCCACAAAACCCCAUAACACUCUGACUCUGCAGGACAGCCAUGUGACCCCCAACCCCACAUCCUCACCCCGUGUGGCCAGAGAACCAGCUGUGUGUGGGGAAAAGUCAUCGCCUCCUCAGGGUGGUACAGCCCCACGGCUGCCCCAAGGAAGCCAUGGGGCGGGCUGCUGCCGUACGUGGUCAGAGUGGCUCGGUGUGCCAGCUGUGUGCUGCUGGAAAUCACCCGACCUGUUAUGGCUGGGAGAGUGGCAGAGGAAAUCAUCAAACAUCUGCAGGGAUAGCACAAGGUAGGGUCAGUGUGACAGCUGUGUCGUUGCUCAGCAGACAGAUGCUGAGCAGAGCACAGCAGGGCCAGGAUGUACUGACCAGGGGGAGGUGGAGAGUGCACACGAGAUAAGGCACAGGUGCAGGACGGAGCAUGAGACCCAGCACGUACGACAGCUGCAAGAAAUCCUGCCUGCCUGUCUGCAUAGAAAAGCACACAAUCAGCCCAAAAGGAGCAGCUUGGCCAUAGACCUGCUCUGGAAAAACUGCACAGCGGAUGCGUGGCGGAGACUGUGAGCCUGCAGUCCUUAGCCAAGGGGGAACAGGAGAGCAGUGAGUGCCACAGGAGGAGAACUAUGGGAGCAGAAGGAACUCACUGAGGAGAGUGAAGUAACACCACAGCAACCAGGACAACUGCUGCUGGCCACGGGCCGCGGGCAGUGAUGGCGCUGCUCUAGGAUGGCUCUGGGGAUGCUAUGGUUCAUACUCAUGGAAUCUCUUCCUUAGCCCUCCACUAACCCCUGCACCCCCAUCUUACCCCCCAAGAUGUGGGCUAGAUGAGGGUCAGGGGCAGAUGUAGAGUGCUAUACUACAGCGGCCCCAGAGCCACCCUCCUGACCUAGCCAGUAACAGACCCAUCACUGCCCUCAGCCUCAUAUGGGCUUACGGUGCUCACAGGGUUAUGGGUCAUGGGGAGCCUUGGGCUCACGCCGAGUUAUAUGGCGUUUGGGGCUCACGUGGGGUUAUGGAUCAGGGCUCCACCUUUGGGCCAAAGGGAACCCCAAUCCCCUCUGAGGAAGAAAUCAACCAGUGCACUCCAACACCACCCCACAUCCUCCAUCCUAUCCGCAAACAGCUCCCCACGUGCCCUCAUACCCCCUACGUCCCCAUGCCACCCCACGUCCCCGCACCCACAAGUCCCACCUGUACCUCACACCUUGCCUUCUGCAAAGCACUCUGCUCCUGCAGGCUGUGGUCCAUAGCCCCAUAUCCUGCCCUGCACCUGCUCCAGCUCCGCAUUCCUCUCCUGCAGCAGCCACCCCUGCCCCAGCACCCUAUGGCUGUACAAGAGCUUGAUGGGGAUGGGGCUGAGGAGAGGCCUCAGGUGGGCUAUGGGGUUCCUGGGAUGGUGACAGGGGUCCUGUCAGGGACUGUGGGAAUUGGUGAGAUCCCGGGGUUGGGGUCUUGGAGGUGGGAAAGGAGGUCAGAAGGAGGAAAUAGAGGAAACACGGGGGUCCUGCAGGAGGCCAGUGGGUUACAUGGGGUGAUGCUGGGGACUGUGGGGCUCCGUGUGCGUAUGGGCCAGCUACAGGGGAGGCGUACCGGGUCUGAGGAG